UUGUGUUCUUCUUCUUCGUCGACUCAGUGCUUAGUUACAGUCUCUGUAUUUCUUCCUCUCUCUGGUUUUCUCUGAUUUGAUCGUUGUUAUGGAUACUAGCUAUGUUGUCAAGUUUAUUUAUUCUGGUGAAGCAGCGACAGUUCCAUUGUUGCAUAAUUGGUCGUUUGUUGACCUAUGCAAUUCAAUACGCUCUCGUUUUCCGGAUUUGAUUCAAGGAAAUUUCAUGUUGAGUGAAAGCGUGGUGAGUAAUACAGUGUGUGAGGAUUCUAGUACCAUGCUUGAGGAGAAUGAUUAUUUGGGGUGUUAUAGGGCAGAGGCACCGAAGAGUUAUAUGACGAAAGGUUGGGAGAGUUAUAUUCAUUCUGAAGGCCAAAAGUUUGAGGGUGGGGUUGUUGAGUUUAGAGAUAAGCUGCGUAAGUAUGCCAUAGAAAUUGGUUUUUCAUAUGAGUUUGUUAGAAAU